rnacentral:rRNA from 1 species
UACGGGGGGGGCAAGCGUUGUUCGGAAUUACUGGGCGUAAAGGGCUCGUAGGUGGCCAACUAAGUCAGACGUGAAAUCCCAAAGCUUAACUUUGGAACUGCGUCGGAUACUGGAUGGCUUGAAUUCGGGAGAGGGAUGCAGAAUUCCAGGUGUAGCGGUGAAAUGCGUAGAGAUCGUGAGGAAGACCAGUGGCGAAGGCGGGUCUCUGGACAGUUCCUGACACUGAGGCACGAAGGCCAGGGGAGCAAACGGG